GAUGGGUUGGAGUUGAGAUGAUUUGUGGGGUUUUGCUAUGGGCUUUGACAGCUUUUGGCAUCUGAUGAUAUGAUGAAUAGAAGUGAGAUUAUCUAUGCUUUUGUUUUACAGAAUUUGUAGCUUUUAAUCUGUUAGUACUAUUUUUAUCCUCUAAUCUGUUCCUUUCCUUCUGGGUUGUUCUGUGUGAUAUUGUCUUUGGUCAUAAUACUUCCAACUGCAUUUGGGAAUUAGAGGGUGGUCCCAUAUAAAUUAAUUAUGUGGAUUUUUUA
rnacentral:misc_RNA from 1 species